rnacentral:rRNA from 1 species
AUUGAACGCUGGCGGCAGGCUUAACACAUGCAAGUCGAGCGGGGUGAUGGUGCUUGCACUAUCACUUAGCGGCGGACGGGUGAGUAAUGCUUAGGAAUCUGCCUAUUAGUGGGGGACAACAUCUCGAAAGGGAUGCUAAUACAGCAUACGUCCUACGGGAGAAAGCAGGGGAUCUUCGGACCUUGCGCUGAUAGAUGAGCCUAAGUCGGAUUAGCUAGUUGGUGGGGUAAAGGCCUACCAAGGCGACGAUCUGUAGCGGGUCUGAGAGGAUGAUCCGCCACACUGGGACUGAGACACGGCCCAGACUCCUACGGGAGGCAGCAGUGGGGAAUAUUGGACAACGGGGGAAACCCUGAUCCAGCCAUGCCGCGUGUGUGAAGAAGGCCUUAUGGUUGUAAAGCACUUUAAGCGAGGAGGAGGCUACUGAGACUAAUACUCUUGGAUAGUGGACGUUACUCGCAGAAUAAGCACCGGCUAACUCUGUGCCAGCAGCCGCGGUAA